UACGAAGGGGGGCUAGCGUUGCUCGGAAUUACUGGGCGUAAAGCGCACGUAGGCGGCUUGUUAAGUCAGGGGUGAAAUCCUGGAGCUCAACUCCAGAACUGCCUUUGAUACUGGCGAGCUUGAGUUCGGGAGAGGUGAGUGGAACUGCGAGUGUAGAGGUGAAAAUUCGUAGAUAUUCGCAAGAACACCAGUGGCGAAGGCGGCUCACUGGCCCCGAUACUGACGCUGAGGUGCGAAAAGCGUGGGGGAGCAAACAGGG
rnacentral:rRNA from 1 species